GAUGAACGCUAGCGGCGGGCUUAAUACAUGCAAGUCGUGGGGCAGCAUGAGUGUAGCAAUACAUUUGAUGGCGACCGGCAAACGGGUGCGGAACACGUACACAACCUUCCUAUAAGUGGGGAAUAGCCCAGAGAAAUUUGGAUUAAUACCCCGUAACAUAACGAUGUGGCAUCACAUUGUUAUUAUAGCUUCGGCGCUUAUUGAUGGAUGUGCGGCUGAUUAGAUAGUUGGCGGGGUAACGGCCCACCAAGUCUACGAUCAGUAGCUGAUGUGAGAGCAUGAUCAGCCACACGGGCACUGAGACACGGGCCCGACUCCUACGGGAGGCAGCAGUAAGGAAUAUUGGUCAAUGGACGCAAGUCUGAACCAGCCAUGCCGCGUGAAGGAUUAAGGUCCUCUGGAUUGUAAACUUCUUUUAUCUGGGACGAAAAAAGGCUUUUCUAAGUCACUUGACGGUACCAGAUGAAUAAGCACCGGCUAACUCCGUGCCAGCAGCCGCUGUAAGAC
rnacentral:rRNA from 1 species